rnacentral:rRNA from 1 species
CCUUAUGACCAUGUGACCCUUAAUGCGCCUGAUCUCGUGUGAUCUUAGAAGCUAAAUAGAGUCUGGCCUGGUUAGUACUUGAAGGGGAGAAGUUGUAUCUG